CAGCAGCCGCGGUAAUACGAAGGGGGCUAGCGUUGCUCGGAAUGACUGGGCGUAAAGGGCGCGUAGGCGGCGAUCAAAGUCAGGCGUGAAAUUCCUGGGCUCAACCUGGGGGCUGCGCUUGAUACUGGGUUGCUUGAGUGGGGAAGAGGGUCGUGGAAUUCCCAGUGUAGAGGUGAAAUUCGUAGAUAUUGGGAAGAACACCGGUGGCGAAGGCGGCGACCUGGUCCUUUACUGACGCUGAGGCGCGAAAGCGUGGGGAGCAAACAGGAUUAGAUACCCCGGUAGUCCCUGUCUCUUAUAC
rnacentral:rRNA from 1 species